GGCUAGCAAGGCUCAGUGGUUUGAGUGUCAGACUACGACACUCGGAGACCAGGGUUCGAAUCCCAGUUCGGCCA